CCACGACUUACUGAGCACUUCUGAACAGAAGACCCUCUGGAAACAACUGAGCGUCAGCCUUUCCCAUUACCAAAAAAAAGCAUGCAGCUGAAAGUGAUCCUGGUGGGCUUGGCAAUCUUUGGUCUUAUUCUGGCAGAGAGCAAUGCCAUGCCGGCCAGCAGCUCCAGUGAUGCCGAGGCCAGGGCUGAAGCCGAGACUGCUGAGCGUGCCGAGCAGAGCAGCGCCGAGGAGGCACGCAUCAGCGAGGGAUGCUUGGCUUCCCUGUGCGGGUAACAACCUGACGCAAGAGAGUGACGCCUUCUAAAGAUAGUCUCUCGCAAAAAAAAAACCUUGAAUAUUUCAAAAGAAGUAUAAGCACUGCCCAGCGCUCCACACCAUGCUCCAAUGCCGAAUAUUAGAGCUUGCGGAUGGCUGUUGCGCAUGGCAGUUGCGCAUGCUUUUGUACUUAAUAAAGCUCCAUUUAAAUAUCUAA